rnacentral:lncRNA from 1 species
CCUCUUCAGGCCCCCUUUUUUGUUAGAUCACCAACUCCUGAAGAACAGGAACGAUGGUGUCUUUCAUCUUCAGAGCUGUGGUGCCUGGCACACAGUGGGGAGUCAGCAAAUGUUUCCAGCACUCCAUCAGUUCCUCCCUCCCCCCAUUUCUGGGCCCCAUUUGCUAUCAAGUAUAGCAGCUUCUAUGAUGCAUCCUACGACAAAGUGACAUGGGAUAAUGACCAGCCUAUGUUACA